rnacentral:lncRNA from 1 species
CGGAGGCGAGCCAACAGCGAGCUGCUGCAGUGUUUUGCCCCUCCUUUCCCCACGAGCUCUCGACUCCUCCUCUGUCACUCACGCGGCAAGCAGCGAGCUAGCAACUCUCAGGCGGUAGCUCUCCAGUUGGUCGUCACUUUAUUGGCAGUAGCAACACCACUAAGGUAUGCUCCUCUUUUUGUUCUUUUUCACAUCCACUGUUCAAAUCUAUAUAACUACACACACCAUAAUUAUUACUAGAUUAGAUGAUAGUUUGUAUUAUCUAGACUUCUGUUUUUACUGAUGUAAGGGAAAAAACAUGUGGGAGGUUUUUUUGCUCUUGGUUUGAUAUGUCGUUGCAGAAAGGUUUUGUUUUACAAGGAGAUGAACUGUCAUUGCUUACAAGUUCAGAUCAGAAGGUGGGUGCAUAUAGUACAGAAAAUUGUAUACCUAAUUGAUUAUUAGUCUAAACGGAAGGUUUACCAGGUAUGUGUGCAAGUCUGUGGGGAGGACAUGGAUUUUGAGAUCCAGCUCCUGCCCGUAUGUGCAAGAAAUUCAUGACCUACAUCUCUAAUAUAGCAUGGUAAAUCGUUUUUAUUCUUGAUCUAUCCAUUACGUUAUGUUCCAUUUCCUGGUAGGAAUUCUGUUUUAAUUUCGCAUGCUGUUCAAACACAUAAGCACUUGAUGUGCAUUACUGACGUACUGAGGAAAUGCUACAGCUUGAUGUCUAUGUACAUUUGGAACUUUAGUUCUGACGAGAUGUGUCUUGUGGAGUAUAUUGGCUUCCAGUACAACUGAGCAUGAUUUAUUGGCAAUAUACUGCUGCACUACAUUAUUCCCGAGUCAAGCAUAACAUUUUGGGCAUAACUUUACAUGCAGUGCAAUUUGGCAAAACAGAUGAGAAAUUCCUUCUUAUUCCAGAACCACUUAAAUUUCCCCCGUACCUAUUUCCCCAUUUGAUCUUUGUAGGAGAUAUUGGCACAAUGACUUUAUGUUUUUAGCAGUAUUGUUUGUAUUUUCUUUUGCAAGACAUGCUUUAGAAAUUGGACUGUAGCAGUUUGGUCUCUUGAGCUCACAAGAUCUGUUCUUACUAACAGAGCUGCUUACAAACGUACCGGUCAUUAAUUACCAAUUAAUGGUUGCAUAAUCUGACUGCUUUCUCUCCUAUGGAUCAUGCUUACAGUUGAGUAUCCACUGAUUCCUAAAUGCUUGAACUGGCUAUACAUCUCCUUUUGUAAAUCAUUCUAGCUCCUGAUUACCA